rnacentral:rRNA from 1 species
GACGAACGCUGGCGGCGUGCCUAAUACAUGCAAGUCGAACGCACUCUCGUUUAGAUUGAAGGAGCUUGCUCCUGAUUGAUAAACAUUUGAGUGAGUGGCGGACGGGUGAGUAACACGUGGGUAACCUGCCCUAAAGUGGGGGAUAACAUUUGGAAACAGAUGCUAAUACCGCAUAAAACCUAAACACCGCAUGGUGUAGGGUUGAAAGAUGGUUUCGGCUAUCACUUUAGGAUGGACCCGCGGUGCAUUAGUUAGUUGGUGAGGUAAAGGCUCACCAAGACCGUGAUGCAUAGCCGACCUGAGAGGGUAAUCGGCCACACUGGGACUGAGACACGGCCCAGACUCCUACGGGAGGCAGCAGUAGGGAAUCUUCCACAAUGGACGAAAGUCUGAUGGAGCAACGCCGCGUGAGUGAAGAAGGUUUUCGGAUCGUAAAACUCUGUUGUUGGAGAAGAAUGUAUCUGAUAGUAACUGAUCAGGUAGUGACGGUAUCCAA